rnacentral:rRNA from 1 species
UACGUAGGGGCUAGCGUUAUCCGGAAUUACUGGGCGUAAAGGGUGCGUAGGUGGUUUCUUAAGUCAGAGGUGAAAGGCUACGGCUCAACCGUAGUAAGCCUUUGAAACUGGGAAACUUAGAGUGCAGGAGAGGAGAGUGGAAUUCCUAGUGUAGCGGUGGAAAUAGCGUAGAGAUUAGGAAGGAACACCAGUGGCGAAGGCGAUUCUCUGGACUGUAACUGAUGCUGAGGCUCGAAAGCGUGGGGAGCAAACAGGAUUAGAUACCCUGGUAGUCCCUGA